rnacentral:rRNA from 1 species
GAUAAACGCUGGCGGCGUGCAUGAGACAUGCAAGUCGAACGGGUGACUUAGGGCUUGCUCUAAGUCGCUAGUGGCGGACGGCUAAGUAACGCGUAGGUGACCUACCCCGAAGUGGGGAAUAACUGCCCGAAAGGGUGGCUAAUACCGCAUGUGAUCGGUCAUUCAUUUGAGUGAUCAAAGCAGAAAUGCGCUUUGGGAGGGGCCUGCGUCCGAGUAGCUCGUUGGUGGGGUAAUGGCUCACCAAGGCGACGAUCGGUAGGUGGUCUGAGAGGACGAUCACCCAGACUGGGACUGAGACACGGCCCAGACUCCUACGGGAGGCAGCAGUCGGGAAUUUUGCUCAAUGGGGGAAACCCUGAAGCAGCAACGCCGCGUGAGGGAUGAAGGCCUUCGGGUUGUAAACCUCUUUUCUCAGGGACGAUGAUGACGGUACCUGAGGAAUAAGCCACGGCUAACUACGUGCCAGCCGCCGCGGUAAGAC